CGUACACUCCUGCGGGAGGCAGCAGUGGGGAAUAUUGCACAAUGGGCGCAAGCCUGAUGCAGCCAUGCCGCGUGUAUGAAGAAGGCCUUCGGGUUGUAAAGUACUUUCAGCGGGGAGGAAGGCGAUAAGGUUAAUAACCUUGUCGAUUGACGUUACCCGCAGAAGAAGCACCGGCUAACUCCGUGCCAGCAGCCGCGGUAAUACGGAGGGUGCAAGCGUUAAUCGGAAUUACUGGGCGUAAAGCGCACGCAGGCGGUCUGUCAAGUCGGAUGUGAAAUCCCCAGGCUCAACCUGGGAACUGCAUUCGAAACUGGCAGGCUAGAGUCUUGUAGAGGGGGGUAGAAUUCCAGGUGUAGCGGUGAAAUGCGUAGAGAUCUGGAGGAAUACCGGUGGCGAAGGCGGCCCCCUGGACAAAGACUGACGCUCAGGUGCGAAAGCGUGGGGAGCAAACAGGAUUAGAAACCCCGGUAGUCCCAUG
rnacentral:rRNA from 1 species